rnacentral:tRNA from 1 species
GAGGUUGUAGCUCAGGGAUAGAGUGCUUGCCUAGCAUGCAUAAGGCACUGGGUUUGAUCCUCAGCACCACA